rnacentral:rRNA from 1 species
AAACAUCUCCCUCAGAGGUUUUUAUUGAGGGUAGUCCCUGCCCAGUGGAUAUCUUUCUAAACGGAAUUUAUUUUAAAGUAGCGUAAUAAUUUGUCCCUUAAUUAGGGUCUGUAUGAAAGGGUUGACGCGGGGUGGCUGUCUUGAAAGAAUUAUUUUGAAAUUUUCUUUCCAGUGAAAAGUCUGGGCUUUGUUUAAAAGACGAGAAGACCCCGUCGAGCUUAGUAGGGAUGUACCAUUUGGUGCUUCUUCGAUUUUUAUUGGGGCAAUAUGGGAGAAUGUGAACCUCCAUUAAUUUUUAGAUCCACACUUAGUGAUAAAAGGAAAAAGUUACCGCGGGGAUAACAGCGCAAAAUAGCCUGAAAGCUCUUAUUGAAGGCUGUGGAUGCGACCUCGAUGUUGGAUUAGGAUAACUUUAAGGUGUAGCUGCUUUUAUAAGUGGGACUGUUCGUCCUUUAAAUUCCUACAUGAUCUGA